rnacentral:lncRNA from 1 species
CACCCACCUCGUCCUCCCAAAGUGCUGGGAUUACAGAGUCACGUCUCUGUCUGCAUUUCAUCUUCUCUUUCCCAACAACUUUCAAGAACUGUGAAGGGUCUGAUUUGACUCAACGUCCAAGCUACCAUGUUGGUCUUCGAGGAGGCACAAGAGCCUUGGAUCAGAGACAAAAAUCUCGGUUACUCACAGCAGAGAAAUCAGUAUGAGCUUUCCUUGUGCCUGAGUUCCCCUUACUAUCCAAAUCCCAGGGGGAUGAUUUACACAGAUCCAGCAUCCUCCCAGGCCCCUGGGCUCACAACACUAACAGUGUGCCGGCUGGCAAGGAAGUCUCAGCGCAUGCAACACCAUAAUCCCACAGCGGGCAACGGGAGGCAGACUGGGGGCUGAGAACAAUAAAUUAACAGUGAGUACUGCCGCCGUGACAAGUGCAGCUGCCUCCUGCCUUUCCUUCUUUCCUUCAGUCAAAAUGAAGGCAACAUUUGGAUAGUGUGUGCUCAUGUCUUCUGUGUUUUUUUUCUGUCAUAUGGGCUCCUUGACCUUGACAUUGUUUUCUAAGUAUUCUCUCCAAACUCAUUAUUAUUUUGUAACUAACUUUGUUAUCUCCUCACUAAAUGCAUCCCAUUGAACAAUUACAUUUUAAACUCUAACAAGUGUCUCAGGGGCCCCUGUGGUCUGGACCUGCCCAUCUCG